ACCCCUCUGGUGUAUCGGUAACAUAGCGGAUUCUCACUCCGUUGCGCAGGGUUCGACUCCCUGGGGGGGUG